AAUCAACGCUGGCGGCGUGCCUCAGACAUGCAAGUCGAACGCGAAAUUUCCCUUCGGGGAGAAAGUAGAGUGGCGCACGGGUGAGUAACACGUAGGUAAUUUGCCUUUGGGUGGGGAAUAACUCAGGGAAACUUGAGCUAAUACCGCAUAAUGCAGCGGCUCGACAUCGAGACAGUUGUUAAAGCGGGGGAUUGGAGCAAUCCGACCUCGCGACCUAAAGAGAAGCCUGCGGCAGAUUAGCUAGUUGGUAAGGUAAUGGCUUACCAAGGCGACGAUCUGUAACCGGCCUGAGAGGGC
rnacentral:rRNA from 1 species